GAGCACAGGCCUACCUGGCACCCCGGGGCUUCUGCUGUGAGGUGACUGUGACAGGCUAGCCAGGCAGAAGGGUCCACGGCCGCUCUAGUGGACCAGAGUUCUCCUGAUCACCUGCCACUGGAGACCUUCAAGCCUUCCCUUGCCCCUCCCUUCCCGGCUCCAGCCUGGGUGUUGUGCAAGAGCCAGAGGAAUUUGUGAUAAUGGAGCCACAUGCCCAGGCCCAACCCAGGCCCAAGGAACUUGACCUGAAGCAGGAGGCACAGAGAAAAUGCAGUGGAUGGGACUGCCAUCAUGCCUGGGAAGGUCACCGAGGUGUCAUGGUCUUGAAAAGGGUGGCAUGCCUUCACUGUCCUGUGACUGGUUUAGAAUCACCCAUGAGAUACGAUGGCUGUGACUUGUGGGGAUGUUUCCAGGGAGACAACUCAGGAAGGAAGACCGCUGAAUGUUACGAGAAGCCUGCAAGGCCACUGAGAAGAUGAGGCUAAGCUCUGCCCUUACCGUCUCCUCCAUUCUGUUCUCUGAAAACUCCUAUGAGAGUCACGUGUCUAUGCCUAAUGUGUUUCCCUGAGUGAACAACGGGACGGAAUAACUCUUUCGUCUUUCAUCAGCUGACCUCCAACCUUCUGCACCAGUCUCCUGGAUUCUAGGAUCACCACGCAGACCGGGCCUGAGACUCGAAAGAGCUCGUAGGAUCCCCAGAGCUGAAAGCCAAGUCCUCAAACUCAUUCAGGACAUUGUUGAACAGCAGGUGUGAGAAGAAGCUCAUGCAACCUUCUACAGCACGGGAACAAAACCACAAAGGAAGAGGAGAUUGUGUCAGAACAUCUCCCCUCUUUCCCUUCCAACCGUGGGCGCCAGAAGGGAAUGCUGCUUGCAAAAUACGAGAACCAGCCAAAAUUCCCUUUACUGGGCAGGGUGGGAGUGUGUGUGUGUGUGUGUGUGUGUGUGUGUGUGUGUGUGUGUGUGAAAGUUGUCUUCCUUGGAAUUCAUCUUACCGUCCCACCCCCGAGCUGACUGGUUGGUAAGGAUGUUGCCCCAGGCAAGGGAGCAGACCUGGCUGAGACUGUUCCUUGGAGCUUAAGGCAAUUCCUGGAGAGGGAUUUGUGCAAACUCAGCAGCUGGAGGGGGUGGGACGUGACACUCGGCAUCCUUCUCAGCGUGACAAGGUCAUGAGCCCCAUGUGUGCAGGUGUUACCGUGUGCUGGGAUAUUCAACCGAGAGGUGAGGGCUCUGAUUUUACUGAUUCUUUUUUUGUUUUUCGAGACAGGGUUUCUCUGUAGCCUUGGUUCUCCUGGAACUCGCCCUGUAGACCAGGCUGUCCUCAAACUCUGCCUCCCCAGUGCUGCCUCCUCAUGCCCCACCACCACUAGUUUGCUGAUUUUCCGUGGUAGAAAUAUCACCAUCAUGAUGGCUAUCCAGGUACUAGUGUGUUGUUGUGGAGCAGAGCACUGUAUUGCCGGUGAGUGUCUGGGCAGGCUAGGAAUGUCGCUGUGCCUAAAGUGGCAUAGGGGAGUUGUGAGAGACAAGCUGACUUACACACCUCCAUCACUAGUAACCUGUGAGUGUCUCCAUUGGGCCCACUCUCCAUUUUUUGGCCACCUUUUAUCCAGUCUCAAGUCCUUAUCUCCUCCCUGACACGGAUUGGUGUUCCUUCAGGCAGCACUCACAGAGGAACCGCAGACACUUGUUGGCUGAAGGUCUGUCAGAACCGGAGGCUUCUUCUUGGUUGGUAGCUGUGGUGACCAAUGUACAGUCAUCUUUAUGGAGGAGGCUAGCAGGAAACUGUGCUCAAGGGACUCGCGGUCUUUGGUGCAGAGACAGACCUCCAGACAGGUUAUGACUUCUGUGUGUGUUACUGUUGUAUCCCCAUGCCCAUAGAAGGGCUAAUUAUAGUUAUUUCAAAGGCCCCAAGGGAAGGAAUCGUUGGACUCCACACUUUCAAACCAUUAGGCCCAGAGGCGGGAGACAGGCAUGCAGGGUGGUUAUGAAUGAGACCUCCUCCACAAAGCCUUUCUUCUUUUUACCCAAGGUUUUGUUCAUUUGUUUAUUUUUUUAGAAGUGAGAAAAGGAGAAACAUAGAUUAAAAACCAAAAGCAAAAUCCAAACCCAGUUCUACUAACAAACUCUUUUACCUGUCAGGGUUCUGCUAAUUCACCCGGUGACCAGUGAGGUAUCAGACAUUGAAGCAAUCUCCUCUCACAUCCAUCAGUGUUCAGGAGCACAUGCCCAGGAAGGCGGCAAGCUCCCAGCAUCCUAUCUCUGAGUAGAUCAGCGGAAUAGACCAAGUGAAGCAGCAAGAACCUUGACCAGGCUAAGAAAUGAGCCAUGCUUUGGCUUCCCGGCAAGCGCAACCCUGGAAUACAGAUCUGAAAUCCCAGAAAUCUUCCAGUCACACAAAUGGCAAGCCGAGGAACCUGUCUCAGGAGCCUCUGUGAGCUUGCCCAGCAUGCUGGCGUAGGCCCUGAAGCAAUAGCUUCCAAAUUCAUUUGGGUCAAGUCUCUUUUCUCCUGGUUUCACAUUUCGUGUCUUCAAACAAAUAUAUUAGAUUUCUUGGGCACUCUUAUAAGUUUCUGUGAAUAUGUACUUGUCUAGAACACUAAAUUUCAGGUUUUUUUUUUUGAGCCCCCAGUGUUUGACCUCUUAAUUACUUGUUUUGUAAUUAGUUAAGGUUGGCUGUGUGUGGUUUUGACAUUCUGCCCCUCCUCCACUACUGCUGGCUGAUGAGUGAAACUUGAACCCAGGGUCAUGUGUAUGACGAACAUGCGUUCUUCCCCUGAGUUAUAACACAGUAUAAACUAUGUGAGAACCACUCUGUUUGGGCCUCUAGUCCUCUUUGGAUGUGCUUGUGUGUGUUUCUAUAGCGACGCUGACAUUGGGAGAGAUGUUUUUUUCUAAAAGAAAGUUCUUGACUUACUGAAUUUGACAAAAAUUUGCUUUAAAAAAUUUCUGCUCUCCGGCACCUGGCAGAGAUGCAGGUACGUUGCUCUUUGGAGGGCCGUGUUGGUUACCUCUUCUCUUUAGCCCAGCAGUGGUGGCGCAAGCAGAGGUAGGUGAAUCUCUGUGAGUUUAAGGACAGCCUGGUCU